GCUUAGAGAGGGGUCAAUGUCCUAUCAGCUAGUUGGCAGGGUAAUGGCCUACCAAGGCUAAGACGGGUAGCCGGCCUGAGAGGGUGGUCGGCCACACUGGGACUGAGACACUGCCCAGACUCCUACGGGAGGCUGCAGUCGAGAAUCUUUCGCAAUGCCCGAAAGGGUGACGAAGCGACGCCGCGUGUGGGAAGAAGGCCUUCGGGUUGUAAACCACUGUCGGGAGUUAAGAAAUGUAAGGGUGUUAAUAGCAUCCUUGCUUGACUAAGGCUCCGGAGGAAGCCACGGCUAACUCUGUGCCAGCAGCCGCGGUAAUACAGAGGCGGCAAGCGUUGUUCGGAAUUAUUGGGCGUAAAGAGCACGUAGGCGGCUUUGUAAGUCAGUUGUGAAAGCCUUCUGCUUAGCGGAAGAACAGCAUCUGAUACUGCAAGGCUAGAGUACGGAAGGG
rnacentral:rRNA from 1 species